UAAGGACAAGAAGACCCUAAGAAUUUUAAAAAUUUCAAUAAAAUGCUGUAUUUUAUUGAAAUUUUUUAAUUGGGGCGAUUAUUAAAUAUUAAAAACUUUAAUUUUUUUUAAAAAAGAACCAAUAAUAUUGGUUAUUUGAAAAAAUACUCUAGGGAUAACAGCGUAAUAAUUUUUGAUAGUUCUUAUAGACAAAAUAGUUUGCGACCUCGAUGUUGGAUUAGGAUUCCUUUUUAAUGAAGAAGUUAAAAAAAGAAGUUUGUUCAACUUUUAAAAUCCUACUUGAUCUGAGUUCAGACCGG
rnacentral:rRNA from 1 species